GGCUUUAUAGUCAUUUAAUGACGUUAGACUGCAAUUCUGAAGGAGUAUUUGUAAUACUAAGGCUU
rnacentral:tRNA from 1 species